rnacentral:lncRNA from 1 species
UUUUUUAAUUUAGAGAAGCCCUUUCAGUAUUUCUUUGAGAAUGGGUUUAGUAUUGCUGUAUUCUUUUAGCUUUUGUUUGUUGGUGAAAUUCUUUAUUUCCCCUUCUAUUUUAAAUGAUAUUCUUGCUGGAUGGAGUAUUCUAGGUUGCAAUUUUUUUGCUUUCAGCACUUUGCAUAUAUCUUGCCACUCCCUUCUGACCUGUAGUGUUUUUGUAGAGAAAUCAACUGAUAGCCUUAUGGGGGUUACCUUAUAAUUAACACUUUGCUUUUCUCUUGCUGCCUUUAGAAUCCUCUCUUUAUCUUUAACUUUUGCCAUUUUUAUUAUAAUAUGUCUUGAUGUAGGCCUGUUUGGGUUCAACUUGUUUGGGGCCGUCUGUGCUUCCUGUAUCUUGAUAUCAGUUUCCUUUAGAUUUGGAAAGUUUUCAGACAUAAUUUCUUCAAAUAUAUUUCAAUCCCAUUUUCUUUUUCUUCUCCUUCUGGAAUUCCUAUUAUGCAUAGAGUGGCCCGCUUUAUAUUAUCCCAUAGAUCUUUUAUAUUGCUUUCGUGUUUUUUCAUUUGGUUUUCUGUCUGCUGUCCUGAUUGGAUGAUUUCCAUUAUUCUAUCUUCCAAGUCACUGAUUCAUUCCUCUGAAUUAUUCAUUCUGCUCUUUAGUGCCUUUAGCUCAGUUUUUGUCUCUGCAAAUGAAUUUUCUAGUUUUCGUGGCUCCUCCUUAUAUUUUCUAGUUCCUUUCUAAAGGAAUCUGAAUUACUGUUCAUAUCUGCUCUUAAUUCCUUGAUAUUCAGCCUUAAUUCCUUCAAUAUAUUCACUAUCUCCCUUUUGAACUCAAUGCCUAUGAGACUGUAGAGGUUUGUUUCAUUGUUGACUGCUUUAGGUGAAUUCUCCUGUCCUUUAACUGGGAAUGGUUUCUAAGCUUCUUUAUCUUGCUUAUGUUUUUCUUUUUCUGUGAGUUUAGGGAGGCCAAACUGUAGUCUUGUAGAGAUACUUCUAUGAAAGAGCACCCCUUUGUGUUUUGGGGGGGAGGUUACUAUUUAUUUUUGGUGUGGGAGUUUGAAUAUUAGCUGUCUCUUUCUUCAGUGUGAGUAGGCUGUCAUCCCCAGGGUGCUGAGUGUGUUUCCAGGGAGAAGGAGGCAAUGGGUAGAGCUAGUAGUCAGUGCCUGAUUGCUGGGCUCUCAACAGCAGCAAGGACCUGCAGGAAGGUGCACAAGCUACUCCUAGUUGCAGGGCCCUGGGAACUGGUAAUGAGCCUUAGGGAGAUUUAAGAGGCCUGUGCCACCUUCCUGCAGGUUCUUGCUGCUGUUGAGAGCCCAGCAAUCAGGCAUUGACUGCUGGCCAUACUCAUUGCCUUCCUCUCCCUGAAAACACACUGAGAAUCCUGGGGAUAACAGCCUGCUCAAACUGAAGAAAAAGACAGCAAAUAUUCAAACUCCCACACCAAAAAUAAAUAGUAACCUCCCCCUAAAAAUACAAAGGGGUGCUCUUGCGCAGAAGUAGCCUUACAAGACUACAGUUUGGCUUCCCCCAAACUCACAGAAAAAGAAAAACAUAAGCAAGAUGAAGAAACUCAGAAACCAUUCCCAGUUAAAGGACAGGAGAAUUCACCUAAAGCAGUCAACAAUGAAACAAACCUCUGCAGUCUGACAGACACUGAGUUCAAAAGGGAGAUAGUGAAAAUACUGAAGGAAUUAAGGCUGAAUAUCAAGGAAUUAAGAGAAGAUAUGAACAGUAAUGCAGAUUCCCUUAGAAAGGAACUAGAAAAUAUAAGGAGGAGCCACGAAAACUAGAAAAUUCAUUUGCAGAGAUGCAAACUGAGCUAAAGGCAAUAAAGAGCAGAAUGAAUAAUGCAGAGGAAUGAAUCAGUGACUUGGAAGAUAGAAUAAUGGAAAUCAUCCAAUCAGGACAGCAGACAGAAAACCAAAUGAAAAAACAUGAAAGCAGUAUAAAAGAUCUAUGGGAUAAUAUAAAGCGGGCCACUCUAUGCAUAAUAGGAAUUCUAGAAGGAAAAGAAAAGGGGGAUUGAAAAUAUAUUCAAAUAUGUUAUAUCUGAAAAUGUUCCAAAACUAAAGGAAAAUAAUAUCAAGACUCAGGAAACAUAUAGAGCCCCAAAAAAGUUGAACCCAAACAGGCCUACAUCAAUACAUAUUAUAAUAAAAAUGGCAAAAGUUAAAGAUAAAGAGAGGAUUCUAAAGGCAGCAAGAGAAAAGUAAAGCGUUAAUUAUAUGGGAACCCCCAUCAGGCUAUCAGCUGAUUUCUCUGCAGAAACACUACAGGUCAGAAGGGAGUGGCAAGAUACAUGUAAAGUGCUGAAAGGAAAAUAUUUGCAACCUAGAAUACUCCAUCCAGCAAGAAUAUCAUUUAAAAUAGAAGGGAAAAAAAGAAUUUCUCCAACGAACAAAAACUAAAAGAGUACAGCAAUACUAAACCCAUUCUAAAAGAAAUACGAAAGGGCUUCUCUAAA